CCUACGGUGUGCAGCAGUGGGGAAUAUUGCACAAUGGGGGAAACCCUGAUGCAGCGACGCCGCGUGAGUGAAGAAGUAUUUCGGUACGUAAAGCUCUAUCAGCAGGGAAGAAAAAAAGUCCUUUGGACUUUGGACGGUACCUGACCAAGAAGCCCCGGCUAACUACGUGCCAGCAGCCGCGGUAAUACGUAGGGGGCAAGCGUUAUCCGGAUUUAUUGGGUUUAAAGGGUGCGUAGGCUGUGAGGUAAGUCAGCGGUGAAAUGCCCCCGCUCAACGGGGUGAAGUGCCAUUGAUACUGCCUUGCUGGAAUGCGGAUGCCGUGGGAGGAAUGUGUGGUGUAGCGGUGAAAUGCAUAGAUAUCACACAGAACACAGAUUGCGAAGGCAUCUCACGAAUCCGCGAUUGACGCUGAUGCACGAAAGCGUGGGUAUCAAACAGGAUUAGAUACCCCGGUAGUC
rnacentral:rRNA from 1 species